CUAGCUUUGGGAACUUCAGAAAGUACGGUCAUUUUCUGGCAAAUAGAUCAGUUAUGUUUCCUAUGAAAGGCUUUGCUCAGAGAGCCCACAUCUCCCGCAAUUGGUGGUUUUUUGGGUAUUUUAAGUACUUUGCUGGUCGAAAGCAGGGCACCUGAUGUGCUUGCAAUUCAUUUCUAAGAAUUUUCAAUGUAUUAGUAUUCGAAAUUUUCUGAUUUUCAUGUAAAUUUGUUGGAACUUUUACAUUUUACUAACAACACUGAACUUUUGGUCUUCGGUCCUGAAGUUGAAACAUGGUUCAUUGUCUGGUUUAGGUCACAGGAGGCAGAUAAGAACUAGCAUGUUGGUCUAUUUUGAAGCAGAACAAGGAGGAAUAUGCUGGUUCAUAUGAAUGCUUUCUGCUUUCUUUCUCAAAUAUGGUUUGCGGAGGCUUAUUCUAUUACUUUCCACAUAUAUGACCCAACCCUGAUCUUACAUGGGUAAAGAUGACACUCAAAUGUGUUAGGUUAAGAUGUUACGGUGUAAUUGACUGUUUGAAUCUCGGCAAAUGCAUGCUCGAGUAUUCUACAUUCAUGCAGCAGCAUCAAAAUAGCAAUGGUAUUAGCAAUGGUAUGUUCGAUACUGGUGAAAUUUAUGGAGCUGACUAUGGUAGUGUCCCAUUUCAAGAUGUCUACUUGGGUCUUGCUGCCUGGCUCAGACUUCAAAUAAAGAAUGAGAAGUCAGCUCUAUUGUUAUCAGUUUUCACAAGGAAGUUCAUGAUUCGAGUUGUUAGGAGAAGCGUGCUGCAGGAAUCAGCACUCCAUUUAAAGGUUGAGCUUGUUGUGCCAACCAAGAUUUGAAAGGUUAAGCCAAUUCGAACUGUCUGCGUGUUAUCUGAGGCCUGUCCUACUCAUUUACACUGGUUUAUAUACGUGGUUUAGGUAGUGAUAUCGAGGAUACAUAAAUUGUCAAAUUAUCUGAGUUGCCUCUUUUGGAAGCUUGAUGUUGAGCAUGAGCUGCAUUGCACCACCACGAAUUCCACUGCGCUCUCAGAAUGGUACACGAUUUGAACUUCUUGCGUUGAUAAAGUUAAACUCGAGUAAUUCUUUGUGCCAUUCAUGCCAUCGAAGUUUUUUAUUUGUCCAAUUUAGGGGUCAGUCCCAACCUGGUCUGUGCUUGUCCUGCCUUAAAGAUUACAACACGAAGACAAGUAAAGUACAGAGUACCCUAUUGGUCCACAUAAAACCCCCAUGAUUGAUUGAUUGAUUGUUCUAUAUGUACUUGAUUGCAUGAUUGAUUUUCCCCCUUUUCAGCAGGUGUAAGUGCAACUUGCAACUUCACACAUUUUAAGUUCAGUCAAAUUAUUAUUACACUUGUAAUUUCAAAGCUCAUAUCAUUACUUUUUUUUUU